AUUGAACGCUGGCGGCAGGCCUAACACAUGCAAGUAGAGCGAGAGGCGGACGGGUGAGUAAUGUCUGGGAAACUGCCUGAUGGAGGGGGAUAACUACUGGAAACGGUAGCUAAUACCGCAUACAAUCAGAUGUGCCCAGAUGGGAUUAGCUAGUAGGUGGGGUAACGGCUCACCUAGGCGACGAUGCCUAGCUGGUCUGAGAGGAUGACCAGCCUGACGGGAACUGAUGCACGGUCCAGACGCCUACGGGAGGCAGCAUUGGGGAAGAUUGCACAAUGGGUGCAAGCCUGAUGCAGCCAUGCCGCGUGUGUGAAGAUGGCCUGCGGGUUGUAAAGCACUUUCAGCGGGGAGGCGUUACCCGCAGAAGAAGCACCGGCUAACUCCGUGCCAGCAGCCGCGGUAAUAC
rnacentral:rRNA from 1 species